rnacentral:rRNA from 1 species
GUUGUAUGGUUAAGUGACUAAGCGUACACGGUGGAUGCCUUGGCAGUCAGAGGCGAUGAAGGACGUGCUACCCUGCGAAAAGGGUUGGUGAGCUGGGAUGGAGCGCUAUAGCCAACCAUGUCCGAAUGGGGAAACCCACCUAAGAUAACUUAGGUAUCGUUAAGUGAAUACAUAGCUUAACGAGGCGAACCGGGAGAACUGAAACAUCUAAGUACCCCGAGGAAAAGAAAUCAACCGAGAUUCCGUUAGUAGCGGCGAGCGAACGCGGAGCAGCCCAGAGUCUGAAUCAGUGGAUGCGUUAGUGGAACGGAUUGGAAAGUCCGGCGAUACAGGGUGAUAGCCCCGUACACGAAGACGCAUUGCUGUGAGCUCGAUGAGUAGGACGGGACACGUGGUAUCCUGUUUGAAGAUGGGGGGACCAUCCUCCAAGGCUAAAUACUCCUGACUGACCGAUAGCGAACCAGUACCGUGAGGGAAAGGCGAAAAGAACCCCUGUGAGGGGAGUGAAAUAGAACCUGAAACCGUGUACGUACAAGCAGUGGGAGCACCUUCGUGGUGUGACUGCGUACCUUUUGUAUAAUGGGUCAGCGACUUACAUUUUGUAGCGAGGUUAACCGAAUAGGGGAGCCGUAGGGAAACCGAGUCUUAAUAGGGCGAAUUAGUUGCAAGGUGUAGACCCGAAACCCGGUGAUCUAGCCAUGGGCAGGUUGAAGGUUGGGUAACACUAACUGGAGGACCGAACCGACUAAUGUUGAAAAAUUAGCGGAUGACUUGUGGCUGGGGGUGAAAGGCCAAUCAAACCGGGAGAUAGCUGGUUCUCCCCGAAAGCUAUUUAGGUAGCGCCUCGGACGAACACCUACGGGGGUAGAGCACUGUUAAGGCUAGGGGGUCAUCCCGACUUACCAACCCUUUGCAAACUCCGAAUACCGUAGAGUGCUAUCCGGGAGACACACGGCGGGUGCUAACGUCCGUCGUGAAGAGGGAAACAACCCAGACCGCCAGCUAAGGUCCCAAAGUCAUGGUUAAGUGGGAAACGAUGUGGGAAGGCUUAGACAGCUAGGAUGUUGGCUUAGAAGCAGCCAUCAUUUAAAGAAAGCGUAAUAGCUCACUAGUCGAGUCGGCCUGCGCGGAAGAUGUAACGGGGCUAAACCAUGCACCGAAGCUGCGGCAAUGAC